UGCGAUCUCGGCUCACUACAACCUCUGCCUUCCGGGUUCAAGCGAUUCUCCCGCCUCAGCUUCCUAAAUAGCUAGGAUUACGGGUGCAAGCCAACAUACCCAGCUAAUUUUUGGGUUUUGUUUUUAGUAGAGAUGGGGUUUCACCAUGUUAGCCAAGCUGGUCUCGAACUCCUGACCUCAAGUGAUUCCCUGCCUCAGUUUUUCCAGUUCAUAUUUCCACCAGCAGGGUAUGAGGAUUCCUAUUUCCUGUUUCCCUCAAUAAUUAAGAGGAUGACACUCUUUCUGUUGUUUUUUAUAGAUCUGCAUGGAACAAUGCUACUUCUCUGCAUGACUAGAGUUCCUGUUUUUCUCUUUGAAGAUUAUCUCACUAGGAUCAAAACCAUACUUGCUAGAGUCAGGACUCUGGAUUUCUGAUUGUUUUCAGGACAGCUACCAUCAUCCUAGGCUGAUCUUAGUUUCUGUGCCUUUCUCUGCCUGUUCUUUCCUCUCCCCUUCCCUUCCCUGCUGCAGAAAGUGUUUUAUGUGGGUGUCAGCAAAUCAAGACCCUUCAGGUCUCCUGCCCUAGUAUCAUCCCUGAAUGCAGAACCCACUCAGAAGCCUGGGGAAGAGAUUAGAGCUUUCCACAGAAAAUAAGUACAGGGAAUGGAAUUGGAAGGUAAAAAUAGCCACUUGGUGCUGACUUGGCACAUUGACUUCAACCAAAUCAUCCAGCACCUCGUCCUUAGUACUCAGGUUUCCACAGAAUAAUCCUUGCGCUGUGAGUAGUGGAAGUCAGGAGGAGGAAACUGCCUAGAUGUUAUGAAGGGAAAGUAAUAGACUUGUGCAAAAUCUGUUCUUGACUGUUUCUCUGUGAAUCCAGGUUGCUGAACAUCAGCCGAUAUCUGAGCUGUGGUUUCCUCCUGGUUUUGAAAUUUACUUAUUAGAAGAGAAUGUUUUUGAAUGGCUUCUUGGCCAUGACUUUCCCAGGGCCUGCUGGCUGUUGCCUGAUGAUUGACAGGCCUAGCCCCUUGUCAAAGCAAGGUUUUCUUUGCAAAAGGUAUACUUGUCUAGGGCCUCCUGGGAACUGAAAGCUGGGUAUCAGCAGAGGAACGCAAACUGGGCAAAUCAUGGAUUUCCCAGGCAUGCCUGGUGUGGGGGCCAGGGCACACAGCAUUGCUAAAAGCCUAGGGAAAUCUGUGUUUUUAGGAGCAAACCAACGCCUUGCAUUUCUAAGCUGUGUGGUUUACUCCCUCCCUGAGGGGCAGCCAUGUGCUCUGGGCUUCUUAGAGAAGUGACUCACACCAACUAUAAGCCUGACUUACAUACCACCUAGAAAAGGAAAUAGGAAGUGGCUUAGAGACAUAAAGAGCACAGCCCAGAAGGGGCUUCCACGGAAUUCUCCGCAGAUGAGAUGGGGUCCAAUGGGCAGAGGGGCAACUUGGCAUCCUCUCUAUCCCUGCGUUAUCACGAUGCCCUUGGCAGGGACUAUUUGAUGGGAGUCAGAUGUCCUCUUGGGGCUGGUGAGCAGGGGUGAGGGAGGGGAAUUCAGGGGUGAGGGAGGGGGACCUGCUGCUGGGUCAGUAGCUCCUCUCCAGAGUGAGCCCAUCUGUGGAAUGCCAUGCCUCUUCUCGAUCCCGUCUUUGCAAGUGAGCUUAGAUUCUUGAGAUGAGUUUCAUCAGGCCUUAUAAAUGCAAACGUUAAGAGGUACCUCCAACAAGAAAAACCAAUCCCUGGCAGGGCCCCUAAGGGCAGGGAUUCUGGAAAGCCUGCCCUGUCUUCAGCUUGGCCCUGGGACAUUCUGGCUGCAGGUAGGAUAGGGUGGCUGCGGCAGAGGGAGAGGAGGGGCCUUCGUGUUGGUAGAGGCCACCAUGCAGGCCUUCACGAUGCUUCUCUUUUUGGCUCUCCCAGGGAGGAAGGGCGGCUGGCGGCUGGCGGCUGGCGGCAGCGAUUCUGGAGGUUCAGCCCUGGGGCUGGUCCUGCUUCUCUUAGAGGUGGCUGGUUGUGCAAUGGCAUCCCAGCUGCUCCUCUUGGAGCCCCACGACUGCUGUUCCAGGCUCCAUGCCCAUUUUUCGCCACUGGUGGUGAGAGAUGGAAUGCUAUUUUGUGUUUUUAUGCUGCUGUUCCCGUAACACCCAGCACCUCUCCUCAAGGAUGAGUCCUAAGACCCACAGCCCUGGCUGGGCAGGGCCUGGGUACUGAAGGAGGAUCCCACUGGGAGAGAAAAUGCUGACUGUGAAGAGCCAAGAAAGAUGACAUGAUGGAGCUGUCGGGGAAGCACCAGACAUCCUUAACUCGGCUCACGCAUGGUCUUCUCCACCCCUCCCAGAGCUCCUCCUGUGUUGUGAGAAAUGGAGCACAGACACCACACUUGAGGAGGAAGGCCGGGAAGAGGACCCUCAAUACUAGAUGGACAGAAGGAAGAGGAGAUAAUAAAAACAAAGAUCUUCUGGCUCACACCUGUAAUCCCAGCACUUUGGGAGGCUGAGGCAGGUGGAUCACCUGAGGUCAGGAAUUCAAGACCAGCCUGGCCAACAAGGUAAAACCCCGACUCUCCUACAAAUACAAAUAUUAGCUGGGCAUGGUGGUGGGCACCUGUAAUUCCAGCUAUUCGGGAGGCUUGAGACAGGAGAAUUGCUUCAACCCAAGAGGUGGAGGUUGUAGUGAGCUGAGACUGUGCCAUUGCACUCCAGCCUGGGCAACAAGAGAAAAACUCUGUCUCAAAAAAAAAAAAAAAAAAAGGUCUUCCAAUGGCAUCACUCCAAUGUCACAGACCCUGGGAUGGGUUGUUCUGCCAUCUGAGCUCACUGGACAGAUCACCCGUCCCCUGGUAGAGCAGCCUGCUAGCCAGGUCCAGGACGAGGGCUCACAUGGCCCAGGGCACAGGGCAAAGCUCCCUUAGGUUCUUAAUGCAACAACUAAAUGCAACUCAAAGAUUAUUUAUUUUUUCAAUGUUCAAACCUUAUUCAUACUCUUGUUAAAAUUUCACCCAAAAAGGCAGUGCAUGGUGGCUCCUGCCUGUAAUCCCAGCACUUUGAGAGGCUGAAGUGGGCAGAUUGUUUAAGCCCAGGAGUUCAAGGGCAGCCUGGGUAACAUAGACCCCAUCUCUAUUUUUGAAAAAUAAAAUUAAGUAUAAAAGAAGGAAAAAAAAUCACACAAAAAAAAUCCAUGAGGUAGAUGUCAUCUCCAUUGUAGAGAAGAUGAAACAGAAGAUCGGAGAAGCAAGGGAACUCUCUUGAGGUGAACAGCUCAAGUGACUGAAGCAGGACUCUUACCACCACAUUACCUUUGGGAUUCCACCUGCAUCUUCCUUUGGAGAAGUCCCCCAUGUGGAGAUUUUACAGGGUUUACCUUGAAUGCAGUUCAAGGCAAGGGGAGAGAAACCACUUGAAGUGAUCAUUUCCCAGCUCUGAGGGUCUCUUUCCUGUGAGUUUGGUCACAGUGUAGCCUCUGUCCUUGGAAGCUUCCCAGAAACAAGAUCAAGACUAUCUUUAAUAUUAAGGGGAAAGCAGGGCUUUUGCAUUAAGAAAGGUCUGCGUUGCUUUUGAAACUCCUAAUACACGUAUUUAUUUGGGUUUUUUCUUGCUUGGAGAGGUUAUCCAAGAACUGGCACCUCCCUGAUGUUUCUAUGAAAUCUCUUUUUCUGGAAUGGUCUUCCCAGAUCCCCUGGAUUCCAAAAAAGUACAUCCAGAAGUUCCCAUGGCAAGGUUCUCAUGGUAGUAACAGUGUGUACAUAAUUCUGUUUAAUGUUCCUUGCUGCUAUGUGAGAUGCACAAUUACACCCAUUGUUCCUGUUGGCAGAAACUGACUUCUGGCUCCAACUUCUUCGUUUUCUUUUACUUCCUUGUCUCCUUUAGGAGACCAAGGAACAGCUGGAGAGAUGAGGUUACUGGCUCACACCCAAUAGGCCCCAAAAGCGCCUCCAGUCCUCCCCCAGCUGUGUGAAAUUAACUCUGCAUUGCUUUGUAUAGUAAGACACACUGGCAUCGCUGAGUGGACGCCUAAGCAGCUCUCACUGUCUCCACCUAGCCUGAGUGGUCCAGUGGGUGCUACCUCUCUGUUGUGUCUGGUCCCAGGAUAUUCAACUGACAUCCCCCACUAAAAGGAAGGUGAAGCUGUAUUCUUGUUGGAUAUUUAAAAUAAGAAGCUGUGAAGGUUCCCAAAGGCUCUGAAUCUACACUUCAAGGUCAAGAAGAAAAGCAUUAACCUAGUUUAGCUGUAUUUUAGGAAGCAGAUGCUGGGCAUUGGAAAGGCCGAGUUUUGCUUCUAGUUACAGGUUUUCUGCAGAGAAAACAAGACAGAGCUCAACUUAGGGCACAUAGACGAGCAGGAUAGAGGAUGUUGCUCAAGGACCCUGCAGCUCUGGACCCUCCAAUGACUAAGCCUGUCAGAAAGAGCACGUGUGACAGUGUUCAGUGGAAUGUAUACAUCUGUAGAAUGCUUUCUUCACAGGCACUUUUCAAAGAGCUUCCUCUUUGGAGGCGUGUGUGGGCAAACAGGGCUGG